GACGUAGGGCGCGAGCGUUGUCCGGAUUUACUGGGCGUAAAGAGCGCGUAGGCGGCUCGUUAAGUGAGAAGUGAAAGCUCUGGGCUCAACCCAGAAACCGCUUUUCAUACUGGCAAGCUGGAGUGAUGCAGAGGUGGAUAGAAUUCCCGGUGUAGCGGUGAAAUGCGUUGAUAUCGGGAGGAAUACCCGUGGCGAAAGCGGCUCUCUGGAACGGUACUGACGCUGAGACGCGAAAGCGUGGGGAGCGAACAGG
rnacentral:rRNA from 1 species